AAAAUCAGGAGCGGAGUGAGGGGUGUGUGUGUAAUAGGUGCCUAUAUAAGAAAAAGACCCCAAAAUCAGGAUUGUCCCCAUAAAAUCAGGACCUCUGAUCACCCUAAACCAGCCUGAGACCACCCAGAGCUGUGAUGACUGAAGCAUGGAGGCUGUAGGCAGAGGCAUAACUUAUGCACGAGCGGGCUAUGCAGGGGGUCUGCUACAGCAGCUACCAUGACACAGAAAUUUAGUCCUCAUCGCUGCAACACUUACUGAGACCCUCCUCCCAAAGCAAAGCUUGGAAGAACCAUUAGCUGCAGGAACUUAAAAUGGCAGCUACCCGUAGAGGUGGCAGACGUGUAGCAUGGGAGCAGUCACGCUGGAAAAGCAGCAGUUGAAAUGGUUUAGCACAGAACUGAUGAAGAUCCCGAUGGGAAGAAGAAAAGCGGUGGUUUCUUUCACUGCCCACAGCACCAUGGCUACUCCCUUUUGAACAACCUUCAGCCCAAAUGACCCUCCCAAGAAAAUCAACCACCAGAUCCUGAUAUCAGCAGAAACCUAGGAGAAGCUUGUAUUCUAAGUCCUCACAGAAAUGCAAUGAAAUAUUACUUGAGAGACCUCA